rnacentral:rRNA from 1 species
CUGGCUCAGGAUGAACGCUAGCGGCAGGCUUAACACAUGCAAGUCGAGGGGCAUCGGGAGUAGCAAUACUGCCGGCGACCGGCGCAAGGGUGCGUAACGCGUGAGCAACAUGCCCGUAUCAGGGGGAUAAUCCAUGGAAACGUGGUCUAAUACCCCAUAGUAAUUAUGUAAGGCAUCUUAUAUAAUUUAAAGCUUUGGUGGAUACGGAUUGGCUCGCAUGACAUUAGCUAGAUGGUAAGGUAACGGCUUACCAUGGCUACGAUGUCUAGGGGUUCUGAGAGGAAGGUCCCCCCACACUGGAACUGAGACACGGUCCAGACUCCUACGGGAGGCAGCAGUGAGGAAUAUUGGACAAUGGAUGGAAAUCUGAUCCAGCCAUGCCGCGUGCAAGGAAGACGGCCCUAUGGGUUGUAAACUGCUUUUGUAUGGGAGCAAUAAGGGCUACGCGUAGUCCGAUGAGAGUACCAUACGAAUAAGCACCGGCUAACUCCGUGCCAGCAGCCGC